rnacentral:rRNA from 1 species
CCUACGGGAGGCAGCAGUGAGGAAUAUUGGUCAAUGGGCGGAAGCCUGAACCAGCCAAGUAGCGUGCGGGAUGAAGGCCCUACGGGUCGUAAACCGCUUUUGCACGGGGAUAACACCCUCCACUUGUGGAGGUCUGCAGGUACCGUGCGAAUAAGGGCCGGCUAAUUCCGUGCCAGCAGCCGCGGUAAUACGGAAGGCCCGAGCGUUAUCCGGAUUCAUUGGGCUUAAGGGGAGCGUAGGGGGGCGUUCAAGUCAGGUGAAAAAUUGCGCGGCUCAACCGCCACCCGCAGUUGAAAAGGGACGCCUGGGGUUCACAACAGGCAGGCGAAAUUCGUGGUGUGGCGGUGAAAUGCAU